rnacentral:rRNA from 1 species
UACGUAGGGGGCUAGCGUUGUCCGGAAUCAUUGGGCGUAAAGAGCGUGUAGGCUGCUCGGUAAGUCCGCUGUAAAAGUCAAAGGCUCAACCUUUGAAUGUCAGUGGAUACUGCCGGGCUAGAGUCCGGAAGAGGCGAGUGGAACUCCUGGUGUAGCGGUGGAAUGCGCAGAUAUCAGGAGGAACACCGAUGGCGAAGGCAGGUCUCUGGGCAUUAACUGACGCUGAGGAGCGAAAGCAUGGGGAGCGAACAGG